rnacentral:tRNA from 1 species
AUAUGAGGACUGCGAUUUGUAGGUUACUCCGAUAUAGUAAAUCUUAAAAGAUUUUUCUUUUCCAUAUU